rnacentral:rRNA from 1 species
ACGUAGGUGGCGAGCGUUGUCCGGAAUUAUUGGGCGUAAAGCGCGCGCAGGUGGGUGUAUAAGUCUUCUUUAAAAGUGCUGGGCUCAACCCAGUGAUGGGGGAGAAACUGUAUACCUUGAGUGCAGGAGGGGCAGGCGGAAUUCCCAGUGUAGCGGUGAAAUGCGUAGAUAUUGGGAGGAACACCUGUGGCGAAGGCGCCUAACUGGAACGAACCUGACGGUGAGUAACGAAAGCCAGGGGCGCGAACCG